GAAUCUUGCGCAAUGGCCGAAAGGCUGACGCAGCGACGCCGCGUGGGGGAGGAAGCUUUUCGGAGUGUAAACCCCUGUCAGGAGGGACGAAGGUCCAGGGGAGGUAAUGCCCUUGGGAUGCCGGUACCUCCAGAGGCAGCGCCGGCUCACUCCGUGCCCGCAGCCGCGGUAAUACGGAGGGCGCGAGCGUUGUUCGGAAUUAUUGGGCGUAAAGCGCACGUAGGCGGCCUGGUAAGUCUCACUGUGAAAGCCCGGGGCUCAACCCCGGGAGGCCAGGGGAUACUGCCGGGCUGGAGACAAGCAGAGGUUGGUAGAAUUCCGGGUGUAGCGGUGGAAUGCGUAGAGAUCCGGAGGAAUACCAGAGGCGAAGGCGGCCAACUGGGCUUGAUCUGACGCUGAGGUGCGAAAGCGUGGGGAGCGAACAGG
rnacentral:rRNA from 1 species